rnacentral:rRNA from 1 species
AUUGAACGCUGGCGGCAGGCCUAACACAUGCAAGUCGAACGAGUGGCGGACGGGUGAGUAAUGUCUGGGAAACUGCACGAUGGAGGGGGAUAACUACUGGAAACGGUAGCUAAUACCGCAUACCAUCGGAUGUGCCCAGAUGGGAAUCGCUAGUAGGUGGGGUAACGGCGCACAUGGGCGACGAUCCCUAGCUGGUCUGAGAGGAUGACCAGCCACACUGAAACGGAGACACGGUCCAGACUCCUACGGGAGGCAGCAGUGGGGAAUAUUGCACAAUGGGCGCGAGCCUGAUGCAGCCAUGCCGCGUGUAUGAAGAAGGCCUUCGGGGUGUAAAGUACUGUCAGCGAGGAGGCGUUACUCGCAGAAGAAGCACCGGCUAACUCCGUGCCAGCAGCCGCGGUAAUAC